GCAGUCGAGCGAAUGGUUAAGAGCUUGUCUUAUGAAGUUAGCGGCGGACGGGUGAGUAACACGUGGGUAACCUGCCCAUAAGACUGGGAUAACUCCGGGAAACCGGGGCUAAUACCGGAUAACAUUUUGAACCGCAUGGUUCGAAAUUGAAAGGCGGCUUCGGCUGUCACUUAUGGAUGGACCCGCGUCGCAUUAGCUAGUUGGUGAGGUAACGGCUCACCAAGGCAACGAUGCGUAGCCGACCUGAGAGGGUGAUCGGCCACACUGGGACUGAGACACGGCCCAGACUCCUACGGGAGGCAGCAGUAGGGAAUCUUCCGCAAUGGACGAAAGUCUGACGGAGCAACGCCGCGUGAGUGAUGAAGGCUUUCGGGUCGUAAAACUCUGUUGAAAGAACAAGUGCUAGUUGAAUAAGCUGGCACCUUGACGGUACCUAACCAGAAAGCCACGGCUAACUAA
rnacentral:rRNA from 1 species